GGAAUAUUGGACAAUGGGCGCAAGCCUGAUCCAGCAAUGCCGCGUGAGUGAGGAAGGCCUUAGGGUUGUAAAGCUCUUUCGCGCGCGACGAUGAUGCCGGUAGCGCGAGAAGAAGCCCCGGCUACCGUCGUGCAAGCAGCCGCGGUAAUACGAAGGGGGCGAGCGUUGUUCGGAUUUACUGGGCGUAAAGGGCGCGCAGGCGGCCAGAUUUGUCAGGCGUGAAAGCCCCGGGCUUAACCUGGGAAUGGCGCCUGGGACGGUUUGGCUUGAGAUCGGGAGAGGAGCGUGGAAUUCCUAGUGUAGAGGUGAAAUUCGUAGAUAUUGGGAAGAACACCGGUGGCGAAGGCGGCGCUCUGGACCGAGACUGACGCUGAGGCGCGAAAGCGUGGGGAGCAAA
rnacentral:rRNA from 1 species